rnacentral:sRNA from 1 species
GGAUCCGAAGGUGAUUUGGCUGCACUAUCUGCCACCUCUUUGUUCACCAGAGUUGAAACUGCUGAUCUGGUUGCCUAGACUGGUGUUUCCUUCCUCCCUCCUCGCACCCCUCCAGAACCUGAGCACUCGGUCAAGAGGAUGACCUUCCCUUAUAGAAAAGAACCAGUCUUCUGUAAAGAAUAGAAGAGUAGCUGCACUUGCCUGCUAGAAAUUCCAGACAAUUUCUCAAGAUCCUUUUU